AUGGCAGAAAUAGCUCCUCGAGAGAGUUCCAGUACCCCCCUUUCUCCAUGGCCCACUCCAGUUGAUUCUUUCAAUACUGCUAACUCAGCCCCAGGAACUGAAAUCACCUCCAUUGUGCCUCUAUCUUCACUUCCAAGAGCCACAGGUGCCACAGAAACCAUACCAAAUCAUGAUUCAUCAAUGAGACAUACCACACUAGAGCCAGGCUCAGCUUCCCUAACUUCCACUGCUACCAGCACCAUUCCAACAUUAUCUGGAGAAGAUGCAAACACCCCAUUGUUGUCUAUAGAAGGACCAACAGAAGAUAAAACAGUGUCCAGGACCUUCCCAGAGAAUUUAGACACUCCUGGUAUCACUCACAGGGAGCACUACUUCACAGGUCCUGGAAUAACUUUUCAACCUGACAUGGCCUCUACUUCUCUGGCCAAUUUAAGUGAAGGGAUCAGUUACUCCAGAAUUGUACCCUCAUCCCCUUUAGAGAGUAGGAAAAGCACUGCCAUGUUUGGAAUCUGGAUAAGCCCAGCUGAACCUCUCACUCUGGAGCCCAAGAAGCCCACCCCUCCUGAGGGUUCACCAGUGACUGAAUUUAGCAGCAGGGAAAGUGGACAUUUACAGAAUAGUUUGGCCACAGGCAGCACUACAGAAUCAGAUAUCAGUACACUCAUCCCUGGCAAUUUUCAUCCUUCUGAGGGCACUGCUAACCUCAUAUCAAGCCCAGUGGAAGGCUCCAGCCCAAAGGCAUCUGUCUAUACCUCUCUACCCCACACCUCAGGUACUACAGGGACCAGGAUUGGAGAAGAGACAGACUCAUCCUUGGUGUUGACUACACCAGCACCUGCUGUCUCUAUCAGCAGCAUCUCUGGGGCUCUCCUUGGUACAAGAACAGUGGUUCCAUGGUCUUCGAAUUCAGCUGAAGCUACAGAUCUUACCAUGAAUCGCCUUGAUCCUAUAUCCAUGUUGCCAUCCAAAUUCUCCACUUCAUCUCCUGUAACAUUUUCAGGGGUUACUUACAAGGCUGAAGACAAGAGCUCCAAUGUUCCUGGGACUGACAGCAUAAGUAUCAUCUUCAGCAGCAAGGUCACAGACAGGGUCUCUCUCCAUCCUGAGAUCACUCCUAACCAAAAUCUACUGGGCACAAUGGAAGAGAGCACAGGUGCUUUGCUGACCCCUUCUUUGCCUGGACCUCCUGGGUCUUCAGCUGCUAAUAUGGGAAGUGUAUCAAACAUGUCAGGUACCAAUACUGGCUCAACUCCACAGGUGACUUUAGCUUAA
rnacentral:lncRNA from 1 species